rnacentral:rRNA from 1 species
AUUGAACGCUGGCGGCAGGCCUAACACAUGCAAGUCGAACGAGUGGCGGACGGGUGAGUAAUGUCUGGGAAACUGCCUGAUGGAGGGGGAUAACUACUGGAAACGGUAGCUAAUACCGCAUACCAUCAGAUGUGCCCAGAUGGGAGUAGCUUGUUGGUGGGGGACCGGCUCACCAUGGAGACGAUCCCUAGCUGGUCUGAGAGGAUGACCGGCCAUACGGGAACUGGGACACGGUCCAGAGUCCUACGGGAGGCAGCAGUGGGGAUUAUUGCACCAUGUGCGAAAGUCUGAUGCAGGCAUGCCGCGUGUAUGAUGAAGGCCUUCGGGUUGUAAAGUACUUUCAGCGGUGAGGCGUUACCCGCAGAAGAAGCACCGACUAACUCCGUGCCAGCAGCCGCGGUAAUAC